rnacentral:rRNA from 1 species
UCCGUAGGUGAACCUGCGGAAGGAUCAUUACCGAGUGUAGGGUUCCUAGCGAGCCCAACCUCCCACCCGUGUUUACUGUACCUUAGUUGCUUCGGCGGGCCCGCCAUUCAUGGCCGCCGGGGGCUCUCAGCCCCGGGCCCGCGCCCGCCGGAGACACCACGAACUCUGUCUGAUCUAGUGAAGUCUGAGUUGAUUGUAUCGCAAUCAGUUAAAACUUUCAACAAUGGAUCUCUUGGUUCCGGCAUCGAUGAAGAACGCAGCGAAAUGCGAUAACUAGUGUGAAUUGCAGAAUUCCGUGAAUCAUCGAGUCUUUGAACGCACAUUGCGCCCCCUGGUAUUCCGGGGGGCAUGCCUGUCCGAGCGUCAUUGCUGCCCAUCAAGCACGGCUUGUGUGUUGGGUCGUCGUCCCCUCUCCGGGGGGGACGGGCCCCAAAGGCAGCGGCGGCACCGCGUCCGAUCCUCGAGCGUAUGGGGCUUUGUCACCCGCUCUGUAGGCCCGGCCGGCGCUUGCCGAACGCAAAUCAAUCUUUUUCCAGGUUGACCUCGGAUCAGGUAGGGAUACCCGCUGAACUUAAGCAUAUCAAUAAGCGGAGGAA